rnacentral:rRNA from 1 species
GACGAACGCUGGCGGCGUGCUUAACACAUGCAAGUCGAACGGUAAGGCCCUUCGGGGUACACGAGUGGCGAACGGGUGAGUAACACGUGGGUGAUCUGCCCUGCACUUCGGGAUAAGCCUGGGAAACUGGGUCUAAUACCGGAUAGGACCAUUGCCUGCAUGGGUGGUGGUGGAAAGCUUUUGCGGUGUGGGAUGGGCCCGCGGCCUAUCAGCUUGUUGGUGGGGUGAUGGCCUACCAAGGCGACGACGGGUAGCCGGCCUGAGAGGGUGACCGGCCACACUGGGCCGGGGUUACGGCCCAGACCCCUACGGGAGGCAGCGGUGGGGAAUAUUGCACAAUGGGCGCAAGCCUGAUGCAGCGACGCCGCGUGAGGGAUGACGGCCUUCGGGUUGUAAGCCUCUUUCAGCACCGACGAAGCGCAAGUGACGGUAGGUGCAGAAGAAGGACCGGCCAACUACGUGCCAGCCGCCGCCGUAA